AGUGAACGCUGGCGGUAGGCCUAACACAUGCAAGUCGAACGGCAGCACAGGAGAGCUUGCUCUCUGGGUGGCGAGUGGCGGACGGGUGAGGAAUACAUCGGAAUCUACUCUGUCGUGGGGGAUAACGUAGGGAAACUUACGCUAAUACCGCAUACGACCUACGGGUGAAAGCAGGGGACCUUCGGGCCUUGCGCGAUUGAAUGAGCCGAUGGCGGAUUAGCUAGUUGGCGGGGUAAAGGCCCACCAAGGCGACGAUCCGUAGCUGGUCUGAGAGAAGGAUCCGCCACACUGGAACUGAGACACGGUACAGACUCCUACGGGAGGCAGCAGUGGGGAAUAUCGGACAAGGGGCGCAAGCCUGAUCCAGCCAUACCGCGUGGGUGAAGAAGGCCUUCGGGUUGUAAAGCCCUUUUGUUGGGAAAGAAAUCCAGCUGGCUAAUACCCGGUUGGGAUGACGGUACCCAAAGAAUAAGCACCGGCUAACUUCGUGCCAGCCGCCGCAGUAA
rnacentral:rRNA from 1 species